UUUAUUAUUUCCGUCCAAGUGUUUCCUGGAAUGUAGCUUCUCUCGCUCGUAGAAGGAAAACCGAAACCAACAAAGUGCAAAGCGAUCAAUUAUGCUUAAAUAGGAAAAAUAUAGCGGGGGAAAGAUUCUUUUGCUGGUCGCCACUAUAUGCCGGGUCUACGGAAGCACCUAUCGCAAUAUUCCCGGUUACUGCCGGCCCUGGGACCUCCCCCUUCCUCCCCUGCAUCAGAGGGGAAAUGCGACGAUGUCUCUUCGCUGCCUUUACCCCUAGCACUGGCUCCCGCUCUUGCUGCUGUUUUCCAGAGGAGAAAAUGGACAUGCUGCACGGCACCAAACCGUGGUACCUUUGAGGUGUGAGAAACAUAUUCCGCCCAGCACAGGCUUGAGGACGCGGGCCUGUGCCAGCCUCUGGCACACGAGGAGGCCGCGGCUUCCCACGAGCAGAACGGGAGCACGCUCCCUGCUCGGGUGUUUGUUGGACACCCUGGCUAUCCCUACCCCUCUGCAAGGGGUCUGGGGCUCCAAUUUGCAGGUGUAGGUGGUGCCUGACCUCAGCUCUUACUGCUCAGAGACCCCCAGGACACUAGGCAUGCUUGUGGAGGGAAAAUACUUCUCGCGUACCAUACAGAGUUGGUGCCCUAACAAUGUAUGCAUGGAAAGGCGUGAUGGUGAAGCAGUCUUCUGCUGGCUCUUACUUGCUUUGGCUCAACCAUUACAAACAUGCUACAUGAUAUGCUAAAGAUGAGGAGGAAGCAACAGGUCUAAGCCAGGAGAGAAGGUCUACAAUUGUGUUUUCUUUCUGCUCUCUUUCUCUGUGCCUCAAAUCAAACUAAAGAUUUGAAUACUAGUUUUGCACAUCUACUAGUGAAAUCAUCAAGGUCUCUCAGAACUGCCAAAAUAAAUCUGAUUUUUUUUU